AACCCAUAAUUAGGACACUUUCUUAAUAAUGACUUGUAACUCUCCCAUGCCUCACCUAAGGUUUCAUUGGCACAUUGGUAGAAAGUCGAUAUCAUCAUUUUCACUUC
rnacentral:snoRNA from 1 species